rnacentral:rRNA from 1 species
CAGUAGCCGCGGUAAUACGGAGGGGGCUAGCGUUGUUCGGAAUUACUGGGCGUAAAGCGCACGUAGGCGGCUUGGUAAGUUAGAGGUGAAAGCCUGGAGCUCAACUCCAGAAUUGCCUUUAAGACUGCCGAGCUAGCAGGUGAGAGAGGUAAGUGGAAUUCCGAGUGUAGAGGUGAAAUUCGUAGAUAUUCGGAAGAACACCAGUGGCGAAGGCGGCUUACUGGCUCAUACUGGACGCUGAGGUGCGAAAGCGUGGGGAGCAAACAGGAUUAGAUACCCGUGUAGUCCCUGUCUCUUAUAC